CAGGAACUUUUCUGCAAUUCAACAGAACAGACUCUGCUGCAGGAACUUCUUUUAUUUUAAGGAUAAAUUUUCUAACAGUGUAGCAGCUCCUUGCAUUCCCUGAAAGCUGCCCAGCAAAUGGGAUUCGAUCGAAGAGAUUCACCAUUAGGGGUACGAGAGAGUUCUGGCUUACUCAAACGCGAUACUCCGACUAGUGGGAACAUGCCUUUUAAAUACUGCCCUCAUCUUCGGGCCGAAAACAGUAUACCAGUAGCGUAUACGUACGUAGCGAAUAAUGAGCUGAGCGAGAGAGAAGUCAAUCUUCCGCCUGAACUCGUCCGUCUGCGAUCAAGAUGGACGUUCCGUAUAUAGAUCCUGCUUUCGGGACGUCCGCUCCCAGAUAAGCAACACUCUCGGCUUAUACCCAUCAGUAAAGAAGUCUCGAACUUUAUCGGUUUGCCGCUCAAGACUUUGAGGAUUUUUUGUGCAUCCCUUCGGCCCCGGACGUUGCUUUCCGUGUCGGGGAUGCGGGAGCGAGGAAGACUAGAUCGGGCCGUAACCCUCGCCGCGGCACUGGUUACCACUCAGCCGACUAUCAGCUUACAGUUGCAGCGCUGGACGUGGCCGCCCGGAGCGGUAUGGUUUUCGCGAUGUACUAGGAGUAUCUGAUAUCCGCUCGUAGUGAAGCUGAGCGGCUUGGACUGAGUCUCUACCAAUGACAAGAACUUUUUGCUAGAGUCACAAAAUCGCUGAUCUCCAGUAUGAGCAAGCAGCAAUCAACACUGCUAUGCACAAGGGCAAGGAGGGCUAAAGACUAGAUGCUCUCAAGAUGAUUGAGAAAGGGGCAGCUACUGAGCUGGACUUCUCAUUCUCAAUAAGCUUCCUUGCGAAGGUAAGGACUUGUUUAUGGACACUUUCAAGAAGUAUUGCACAAGUCUUUUUCAGCCAACACCACAGCUGACAAGACAUUUUAUUAGCUCUCCUCGAGUAGACCUAGUCCGCCAGGCCCUAGUCCAGGGCCAGACCAGAGACCUCCAUACGCUAGCUCUAGCUCCAUACCCUAGACCUAUAAUGAACUUAAAGGGUCAUCCCCCUCUUCCCUCGCUCUGGUAGCGACGCCAGGAAUGAAAGGGGCCGCUGGGAAAGUCAUAGGAAUCCUCAUGGUGGGGGACGGGGCCGCCAGGCGUUCUUUCAAUGCACCAAAUUCAGGGCCCCCACUCAUAACCAGGACUUAUGACAAUCUAACACUAACCCUUCCCCACAAGCAGUAGGGAGAAGACUAUUUCUUUGCCUUUACUUUUCAUUAUUUGAAAUCUGUUCCAAGUCCACAGCAAUAUGUAAUAUUGAGGUGUUCAUGUGCCAAAAAAAAAACACUACCCUUUCAUAUCAGAAGAACAUAGAAAGGAGGAAAUAGUGGUGAUGGAUGAGGUUGUCAAAAUCAUACCAGGCAAAUCAUACAGGCAUAAUGGUAAAACUUGCCAAACUUGGGUUACUUACAAAGUUGCGUUCACUUGUAUAGAAUGUAGACCUAGUAAUAUUCUUGAUAAUUUUGUGGCAUCUGAGGUAUAUAUCUACACUAUUUUUGGCUUAUAAAGCAAUGACAGAAGUAACUUCUAGAUGUGGUUUAUGGAGUGGUCUUUGGAUGCUCAGACAGUCUUGAGAUCUCAAACCAAGGCCUGAGGGUGGUGAACCCUUAAGAAUUGCUGCUAUUGUCCAUCAGUUUCUACCACACUUGCCACAAUGAUAUCAGCUUCUCCUUGGAAAUAUUUAUGACAUAAAUCUACUGUGUGUUCCAAUGAUAAAGAUUCCCAUACAAUCCCAGAGUUCUCAAUCAGGGAUUGUGAUUAAGAUAAUAUUUUAAUGUUCGUAAUAGAAAUCUGAGUUUA